rnacentral:rRNA from 1 species
GCCAGACUCCUACGGGAGGCAGCAGUGGGGGAUAUUGCACAAUGGGGGGAACCCUGAUGCAGCGACGCCGCGUGGGUGAAGGAGCGUUUCGGCGCGUAAAGCCCUAUCGGCAGGGAAGAAGGAGGACGGUACCUGACUAAGAAGCCCCGGCUAACUACGUGCCAGCAGCCGCGGUAAUACGUAGGGGGCAAGCGUUAUCCGGAUUUACUGGGUGUAAAGGGGGCGCAGACGGCAGCGCAAGCCAGGAGUGAAAGCCCGGGGCCCAACCCCGGGACUGCUCUUGGAACUGCGCGGCUGGAGUGCAGGAGGGACAGGCGGAAUUCCUGGUGUAGCGGUGAAAUGCGUAGAUAUCAGGAGGAACACCGGUGGCGAAGGCGGCCUGCUGGACUGCGACUGACGUUGAGGCCCGAAAGCGUGGGGAGCAAACAGGAUUAGAUACCCUGUACA